CGCCUGGGGAGUGCGGCCGCAAGGUUAAAACUCAAAUGAAUUGACGGGGGCCCGCACAGGCGGUGGAGCAUGUGGUUUAAUUCGAUGCAACGCGAAGAACCUUACCUACACUUGACAUGCAGAGAACUUUCCAGAGAUGGAUUGGUGCCUUCGGGAACUCUGACACAGGUGCUGCAUGGCUGUCGUCAGCUCGUGUCGUGAGACGUUGGGUUAAGUCCCGCAACGAGCGCAACCCUUGUCCCUAGUUGCCAGCAUUAAGUUGGGCACUCUAAGGAGACUGCCGGUGACAAACCGGAGGAAGGUGGGGACGACGUCAAGUCAUCAUGGCCCUUACGUGUAGGGCUACACACGUGCUACAAUGGCAUUUACAGAGGGAAGCGGGACAGUGAUGUGGAGCGGACCCCUUAAAGAAUGUCGUAGUCCGGAUUGGAGUCUGCAACUCGACUCCAUGAAGUCGGGAAUCGCUAGUAAUCGCAGGUCAGAAUACUGCGGUGAAUACGUUCCCGGGCCUUUGUACACACCGCCCGUCACACCAUGGGAGUGGGAUGCAAAAGAAGUAGUUAGUCUAACCUUCGGGGAGGACGAUUACCACUUUGUGUUUCAUGACUGGGGU
rnacentral:rRNA from 1 species